AUGGUUCGUCCUGAUUCGGAGGCGCCGGCGCCGAGCGUUGCCUACGGAGGCAGCGGAGGCGCCGCGGCUCCGGCGGGGACGAGGGCAGACUCGUCUUUCGAGACCAACGUGGUGAUCAUCCUGGCCGCGCUCUUCUUCGGGCUGCUCCUCAUAAUCGCACUCAACUCGCUGGCGCGGUGCGCGCUCCGGUACGUGGGGCGCGGGGCCGCGCCCGCUGCCGGCGAGGGGCGGGCGUCGGCGCGGGGCCGGGCGUCGGCGUGGGUGGCCUGCAGCGGCAGCGGCAUCAAGAGGCGCGUCCUCAGGGGCCUCCCCGUGGAGGUGUACGCCUGCGGGGAGGACAUCGACGACGUGUGCGCCAUAUGCCUGAGCGAGUUCGUGGACGGGGAGAAGGUGCGCGUGCUGCCGCUGUGCAGGCACGGCUUCCACGUCCGCUGCGUGGACGCCUGGCUGGUGUCCCACGGCUCCUGUCCCACAUGCCGGCGGCCGGUCAUCGAGAAGGGCGCCAGCGGCGUCGUCGACAGCCAGCGCCCUGCAGAGACGAACACGGUCAUCACCGUGGCGAUCGUGUGA
rnacentral:rRNA from 1 species